rnacentral:pre_miRNA from 1 species
CUGUUGAUUCUCUUUUCUUGGUUGUUAUUGCAAAGAAGGUAAUCAACAGCAA